CUCCAUGAACAUGAUGAUUUUGAACCGACAAGCACAACAAAUCGCAUGCUCAUGGGUGAAAUGUUCCAUCCAUUGGGGUGCAAUGCGCAAUUGG
rnacentral:ribozyme from 14 species